GACGAACGCUGGCGGCGUGCCUAAUACAUGCAAGUCGAACGCAGUGGGGACGGGUGAGUAACACGUGGGUAACCUCCCAUCAGAGGGGAUAACACUUGGAAACAGGUGCUAACCCGAUACUGAUGGAUGGACCCGCGGUGCAUUAGCUGGUUGGGGAGGUAACGGCUAACCAGGGCCACGAUGCAGAGCAGACCUGAGAGGGUGAGCGGCCACACUGGGACGGAGACACGGCCGAUACCCCGACGGGAUGCAGCAGUAGGGAAUCUUCGGCAAUGGACGAAAGGGUGACCGAGCAACGCCGCGUGAGUGAUGACGGCCUUCGGGUUGUAAAGCUCUGUUAAUCGGGACGCGGUACCGGAAUAGAAAGCCACGGCUAACUACGUGCCAGCAGCCGCGGUAAUA
rnacentral:rRNA from 1 species